rnacentral:rRNA from 1 species
UACGUAGGAUGCGAGCGUUGUCCGGAAUUAUUGGGCGUAAAGAGAACGUAGGUGGUUUCUUAAGUUCGAUCUUAAAGACCGGGGCUCAACCCCGGGAAUGGAUUGAAAACUGGGAGACUAGAGGAUGUUAGAGGACGGUGGAAUUCCCAGUGUAGCGGUGAAAUGCGUAGAUAUUGGGAGGAACACCAGUGGCGAAAGCGGACCGUCUGGGACAUUCCGUGACACUGAGGUUCGAAAGCUCGGGGAGCAAAC